GAAGGGACCUAGCGUAGUUCGGAAUUACUGGGCUUAAAGAGUUCGUAGGUGGUUAAAAAAGUUGGUGGUGAAAUCCCAGAGCUUAACUCUGGAACUGCCAUCAAAACUUUUUAGCUAGAGUAUGAUAGAGGAAAGCAGAAUUUCUAGUGUAGAGGUGAAAUUCGUAGAUAUUAGAAAGAAUACCGAUUGCGAAGGCAGCUUUCUGGAUCAUUACUGACACUGAGGAACGAAAGCAUGGGUAGCGAAGAGGAUUAGAUACCCUCGUAGUCCAUGCCGUAAACGAUGUGUGUUAGACGUUGGAAAUUUAUUUUCAGUGUCGCAGCGAAAGCGAUAAACACACCGCCUGGGGAGUACGACCGCAAGGUUAAAACUCAAAUGAAUUGACGGGGACCCGCACAAGUAGUGGAGCAUGUGGUUUAAUUCGAAGAUACGCGCAGAACCUUACCAACACUUGACAUGUUCGUCGCGACUCUAAGAGAUUAGAGUUUUCGGUUCGGCCGGACGAAACACAGGUGCUGCAUGGCUGUCGUCAGCUCGUGUCGUGAGAUGUUGGGUUAAGUCCCGCAACGAGCGCAACCCUUACUUUUAGUUGCCAUCAUUUAGUUGGGCACUCUGAAAGAACUGCCAGUGAUAAGCUGGAGGAAGGUGGGGAUGACGUCAAGUCCUCAUGGCCCUUAUGUGUUGGGCUACACACGUGCUACAAUGGUAUCUACAACAGGAAGCAAGAUGGCAACAUUAAGCAAAUCCCAAAAAGAUACCUCAGUUCGGAUUGCACUCUGCAACUCGAGUGCAUGAAGCUGGAAUUACUAGUAAUCGUGGAUCAGCGUGCCACGGUGAAUACGUUCCCGGGUCUU
rnacentral:rRNA from 1 species